rnacentral:rRNA from 4 species
AGACCCGAAACCCGGUGAUCUAGCCAUGGGCAGGUUGAAGGUUGGGUAACACUAACUGGAGGACCGAACCGACUAAUGUUGAAAAAUUAGCGGAUGACCUGUGGCUGGGGGUGAAAGGCCAAUCAAACCGGGAGAUAGCUGGUUCUCCCCGAAAGCUAUUUAGGUAGCGCCUCGUGAAUUCAUCUCCGGGGGUAGAGCACUGUUUCGGCUAGGGGGCCAUCCCGGCUUACCAACCCGAUGCAAACUGCGAAUACCGGAGAAUGUUAUCACGGGAGACACACGGCGGGUGCUAACGUCCGUCGUGAAGAGGGAAACAACCCAGACCGCCAGCUAAGGUCCCAAAGUCAUGGUUAAGUGGGAAACGAUGUGGGAAGGCCCAGACAGCCAGGAUGUUGGCUUAGAAGCAGCCAUCAUUUAAAGAAAGCGUAAUAGCUCACUGGUCGAGUCGGCCUGCGCGGAAGAUGUAACGGGGCUAAACCAUGCACCGAAGCUGCGGCAGCGACGCUUAUGCGUUGUUGGGUAGGGGAGCGUUCUGUAAGCCUGUGAAGGUGUGUCGUGAGGCAUGCUGGAGGUAUCAGAAGUGCGAAUGCUGACAUAAGUAACGAUAAAGCGGGUGAAAAGCCCGCUCGCCGGAAGACCAAGGGUUCCUGUCCAACGUUAAUCGGGGCAGGGUGAGUCGACCCCUAAGGCGAGGCCGAAAGGCGUAGUCGAUGGGAAACGGGUUAAUAUUCCCGUACUUGGUGUUACUGCGAAGGGGGGACGGAGAAGGCUAUGUUGGCCGGGCGACGGUUGUCCCGGUUUAAGCGUGUAGGUGUGUGUUCCAGGUAAAUCCGGUUCACUUUAACACUGAGGCGUGAUGACGAGGCACUACGGUGCUGAAGUAACAAAUGCCCUGCUUCCAGGAAAAGCCUCUAAGCAUCAGGUAACAUCAAAUCGUACCCCAAACCGACACAGGUGGUCAGGUAGAGAAUACCAAGGCGCUUGAGAGAACUCGGGUGAAGGAACUAGGCAAAAUGGUGCCGUAACUUCGGGAGAAGGCACGCUGACACGUAGGUGAAGUGAUUUACUCACGGAGCUGAA